UACGAAGGGGGCUAGCGUUGUUCGGAUUUACUGGGCGUAAAGCGCGUGUAGGCGGGCUGGAAAGUUGGGGGUGAAAUCCCGAGGCUCAACCUCGGAACUGCCUCCAAAACUUCCAGCCUGGAGCAAGAUAGAGGCAAGUGGAAUUGCGAGUGUAGAGGUGAAAUUCGUAGAUAUUCGCAGGAACACCAGUGGCGAAGGCGACUUGCUGGAUCUUUGCUGACGCUGAGACGCGAAAGCGUGGGGAGCGAACAGG
rnacentral:rRNA from 1 species